rnacentral:rRNA from 1 species
CGGUGAGUGAAGAAGGCCUUCGGGUUGUAAAGCUCUUUCAGGUGGAAAGAAAUCGCAUCUUUUAAUACAGGGUGUGGAUGACGGUACCAUCAGAAGAAGCACCGGCUAACUACGUGCCAGCAGCCGCGGUAAUACGUAGGGUGCGAGCGUUAAUCGGAAUUACUGGGCGUAAAGCGUGCGCAGGCGGUUAUGUAAGACAGAUGUGAAAUCCCCGGGGCUCAACCUGGGAACUGCGUUUGUGACUGCAUAACUAGAGUACGGCAGAGGGAGGUGGAAUUCCGCGUGUAGCAGUGAAAUGCGUAGAGAUGCGGAGGAACACCGAUGGCGAAGGCAGCCUCCUGGGCCAGUACUGACGCUCAUGCACGAAAGCGUGGGGAGCAAACAGGAUUAGAUACCCUGGUAGUCCACGCCCUAAACGAUGUCAACUAGUUGUUCGGUGAGGAGACUCAUUGAGUAACGCAGCUAACGCGUGAAGUUGACCGCCUGGGGAGUACGGCCGCAAGGUUAAAACUCAAAGGAAUUGACGGGGAC